AAGUGGUGUUCCAACGUGUGGAGAUCUUUGGACGACUUCCUCACAAUGGAAAGAUCGUGGUGCAGCAGAGGCUCAUCUAAAAGUUGCAGGACACCGGCCCUUAAGGACUGGAUGGUGACGCCCCUGCUUUACAGGAUUUAACAGGAAUUUCUCCACCAAAUACAAGGAUGUCAUCUCUAAAAGUCUUCUGAUCCAACCAGGAUCUCCUGCUAUCUACCAGCUAAAGCUAAAA